AGUGAACGCUGGCGGUAGGCCUAACACAUGCAAGUCGAACGGCAGCACAGUAAGAGCUUGCUCUUACGGGUGGCGAGUGGCGGACGGGUGAGGAAUACAUCGGAAUCUACUUUUUCGUGGGGGAUAACGUAGGGAAACUUACGCUAAUACCGCAUACGACCUACGGGUGAAAGCAGGGGAUCUUCGGACCUUGCGCGAGCGAAUGAGCCGAUGUCGGAUUAGCUAGUUGGCGGGGUAAAGGCCCACCAAGGCGACGACCCGUAGCUGGUCUGAGAGGAGGAACAGCGACAGUGGGACUGGGACACGGUGCAGACUCCUACGGGAGGCAGCAGUGGGGAAUGGUGGACGAUGGGCGCAAGCCUGAUCCAGCCGUACCGCGUGGGUGAAGAAGGCCUUCGGGUUGUAGAGCCCUUUUGUUGGGGAAGAAAAGCAGCAGGUUGGUACCCCGCUGUUCUGACGGUACCCAGAGAAUAAGCACCGGCUAACUUCGUG
rnacentral:rRNA from 1 species